GCAAGCGUUAUCCGGAAUUAUUGGGCGUAAAGCGUCCGCAGGUGGCUGUGUAAGUCUGCUGUCAAAGAGCAAAGCUCAACUUUGUAAAGGCAGUGGAAACUACACGGCUAGAGUGCGUUCGGGGCAGAGGGAAUUCCUGGUGUAGCGGUGAAAUGCGUAGAGAUCAGGAAGAACACCGGUGGCGAAGGCGCUCUGCUAGGCCGCAACUGACACUGCGGGACGAAAGCUAGGGGAGCGAAUGGG
rnacentral:rRNA from 1 species